rnacentral:rRNA from 1 species
CCCAGACUCCUACGGGAGGCAGCAGUGGGGAAUAUUGGGCAAUGGGCGCAAGCCUGACCCAGCAACGCCGCGUGAAGGAAGAAGGCUUUCGGGUUGUAAACUUCUUUUGGCAGGGAAGAGUAGAAGACGGUACCUGUCGAAUAAGCCACGGCUAACUACGUGCCAGCAGCCGCGGUAAUACGUAGGGAGCGAGCGUUGUCCGGAUUUACUGGGUGUAAAGGGUGCGCAGGCGGCUCUGCAAGUCAGGCGUGAAAGCUAGGGGCUCAACCCCUAAAUUGCGCUUGAAACUGCGGAGCUUGAGUGAAGUAGAGGCAGGCGGAAUUCCCGGUGUAGCGGUGAAAUGCGUAGAGAUCGGGAGGAACACCAGUGGCGAAGGCGGCCUGCUGGGCUUUAACUGACGCUCAGGCACGAAAGCAUGGGUAGCAAACAGGAUUAGAUACCCCAGUACC